GGUUCAGGACGAACGCUGGCGGCGUGCCUAAUACAUGCAAGUCGAACGGUCUUUCUAUGGAAGCUUGCUUCCACUGAGAAGAUAGUGGCGAACGGGUGAGUAACACGUGGGUAACCCUGCCCAUAAGAGGGGGGAUAACAUCCGGAAACGGGUGCUAAUACCGCAUAGUUUUCUUGAUCGCAUGAUCGGGAAAGGAAAGACGGCCUUUGUGCUGUCGCUUAUGGAUGGACCCGCGGCGUAUUAGUUAGUUGGUGAGGUAACGGCUCACCAAGACGAUGAUACGUAGCCGACCUGAGAGGGUGAUCGGCCACAUUGGGACUGAGACACGGCCCAAACUCCUACGGGAGGCAGCAGUAGGGAAUCUUCCGCAAUGGACGAAAGUCUGACGGAGCAACGCCGCGUGAGUGAAGAAAGGUUUUCGGAUCGUAAAACUCUGUUGUCAGAGAAGAACAAGUUGGAGAGUAACUGCUCCAGCCUUGACGGUAUCUGACCAGAAAGCCACGGCUAACUACGUGCCAGCCGCGGC
rnacentral:rRNA from 1 species